rnacentral:rRNA from 1 species
CCUACGGGUGGCAGCAGUGAGGAAUAUUGGUCAAUGGGCGAGAGCCUGAACCAGCCAAGUCGCGUGAGGGAGUACUGCCCUAUGGGUUGUAAACCUCUUUUGUCGGGGAGCAAAAGCUGGACGUGUCCGGCUGUGAGAGUACCCGAAGAAAAAGCAUCGGCUAACUCCGUGCCAGCAGCCGCGGUAAUACGGAGGAUGCGAGGGUUAUCCGGAUUUAUUGGGUUUAAAGGGUGCGCAGGCGGAUUUUAAAGUCAGCGGUAAAAUCGUGGGGCUCAACCCCAUCCAGCCGUUGAAACUGGGGAUCUAGAGUGUGCGAGAGGUAUGCGGAAUGCGUGGUGUAGCGGUGAAAUGCAUAGAUAUCACGCAGAACCCCGAUUGCGAAGGCAGCAUACCGGUGCACAACUGACGCUCAGGCACGAAAGCGUGGGUAUCGAACAGGAUUAGAUACCCCAGUAGUC